rnacentral:lncRNA from 1 species
AAAAAAAAAAAAAAACAUCUUUUGAUUUUUCAAAGCAAGAUUAUGGUACAAAACAAAGUAAAAUUUAGUCUCCAAAAGUAGGGAUGAAGCUAUAUUUAAAUUUGCCUCCACAAUAUAUUCGUGAUUUCUGAUUUUUGUUGGGUUGGUAAAGUGCAUUUUCUGAUUUCGUGAUUUCUGUUAUUGGUUUCACAGAGAUUGUACACAU